CCCUCCUCUGGAGUUUUACAGCGAGCCCAGAACAAGGUUACCUUGGUCAUCUCCUUUGGUCUCUUCACCUGACACUGUGCUCUGGUCAAUGGCUCUGUGCGUCAUGUGCUGUAGGUGUGCAGUAGAUGUGACCCAGUGUCAAGGUGGGCGUCAGAGCAGCAGACUGCUGGAGAUCCCAGGAGGAGAGCAUGACACCGACAAAUUGCACUAGCUGCUGAGCAGAGGAUGUGUCACUAUAUGUGUAAGAGAUACCUAUGCCCUGCAGAGAAGUCCUGCCCUGAAGCUCUCUGAGAUAUAUUUGUCCCAGCGCAGAGGAGGCUAUGAGGGAUUAGCAGUGUGUCACCGCGUGCAGCACAGUGAGCAAUGGUACGCUGUGUUUGACAAGUUUUUUUUCCUGUUCAGCUUUCUUCUUGGAUGAGCAAAUUAAAUUCUGAUUCAGAGUGGCAGGAUUUGCAGUACCCAAAGCGAACACACACAGCAGACAGUGAUAUUGGCUCUUACUGCCAUUCUGAGUACCGAUUUCUUACCAAUUUGGGAUUCCCUCCUUGAGAUAGCCUGUUUCCAUUGCCUAUAUCAAUACCUCACCCCUGGGGCUUUUCAGGAAUUUCACUUUGAGAGUAGUUCAUCUACUUGAAGAAAACUGGCAAUGGCUACAGGGAAACAUCAGCAGCUUGUCAGCUCUGCCAGCAGCAUGGCACUCACCUGGAGGCUGUGAGAAGGGAAUGUUGUGCAGGAAUUUGUUUGCAACAGGCAAGGUCUGCAGGGAGAGGCAGCAACUUCACUCCAGGAUUACUUUAACGGAGAAGAAAAAUCCUCAGUCUUGUUUUCUGUCAUAUAGAUCUGAUACUCAGGUAUGAUCAUUAGAGGAAAAAAAAAUAUAUAUCUCUGAAGUCUGCAAGGGAGGAGACCAAGGGGUUAAAAGCAUGUGAGGAGUGUGCAGCAAGGGGAACCAGCACAGAGGAAAAAGCUGUUCUGAUGCAGUUCUGAGCAUCACAACUUCUUUCCUUAGUUUAAAACCUGACCAUAGACUCUUGGAUUUGGGGUCAGGAAAGCAGCAGCUUUUAUGCUUGUUUACACUCCUGAAAGUAUUCUCUUCACCUUUCCCUUUUGCCUUUGCUCAUUGCAGCCCUUCCACUGCACUUCUCCACAAUGCAAAUCUCAGGGGAUGGCAAAACUGGGAGAGGCAAGAGCUGGCAAAGCAGGGGGAGCCAUUCCAGCUGUGCUCAGCCCUCUUCCGAUUGACUGCCCACAAGAAUAUUUAAUAACAAGGUAUACUCUUAAAAAGAAGAAGAGGAUGAAGAAGAAAAAAAAAAGCUUUAGAAGAAGACUGCAGAGCUCAGGAGCAGUGUUCAGUGUAGACAGGAAUACACUCUGCUCUCUGAGUGCACAGCGUGCUGAAGCAUUUCUCCGCACCGUAACUCACAAAAACACUGCUUCCAACUUCGCAUUAUAUGGCACAUGUGAGUUUCACAGUAGCCCCUGCCACCCUGUCAGCUGCCUCCCACCUCCCUUAUUUCCUCUCCCCGGUCUUGCUUAUUGCCAGGUGACACCCGCAAAUUCCAAGAGGCCUCUCUGCCCGUAGCAACUGCUUGCCCCAUGAACACGCAGUGUUACCCUCGAAGGAGU